AUUCCGAGUAAUCCCGAAGAAUUCUCGGGAAAUGACGUACUUCCGCUUACGUUGAGAUUCUCUUCCCUAAUCUGAGGAUUACAGGGCUCAAUCACUUUGUCCCAGUUCGUUGAGUAGAGUGGUAGUGACGCGAUUUUGCUCCGUUUACUGAAAUUGUUUAAAGCCAGAAAAUAAAGUGUGUGAGUUUAUCGUGUGCGGCAUAGAUUUGUGUGCUGAUAGAAAGAUAAGGUUAUCAUCCGUACGCUCGCUGGUCAUCGUUCGCUCACUGCGUCACUCGCCACAUCCUAGAGGACAAAUUUGCCCGACGCACGAUUUUCCGUCGGAAGGGAGUCGAUCCGCUACCACAUCGCUCCAUUGGAAGUAAUCUUCCGGUGGCCUAAGGAAGUCCACGUGUCGGUGAAACACCGAUCAUUCGACCGGCAGAAAUACCAGCAGCAUCAAAAAAGCCCUCUUCAGCUGGUUAGAUUCGGGCGAAUGCAGUAAACCCUGUAUCAUCGUUCAUCAGUCGCUGAGUCGGUGAGUCCGUUCCGUUUUACCUAUUUGAUCAAGUAGACGUCCAUGAAUACCGAAACCGAUAUUAAUUGAUAACCGCUGGAUUGAUUUUCGGACCCCGCUUAUAGACGGGCGCGUCCAUGACGUGAUCACGUUUACGAUCCAUGUGCACAUGUGACUGCGUUCUCGGAAGCACCCUCCGAAACGCACACAAAUAAUUACACCCGGGUGUCCAAGCUUUGACCAUUCAUCGCUUGCCGCUCCUGAAGAUGUCAUCAUAACCUGUGGUUGGGUCGAACAAUGAGAUAAAAAAGCACACUAACGAACUAGUAGAUAGGGAUAGAAAGAAAACGCACACAAUAGAAAGCUAGGCCUAGGAAUCAGCAUGCAGAAAUAAAUUAUACUUACCGUGAAAUCAUGUCCAAUUUACUAAAUACAUUACAAUCUAUGCUUAAAGUUAAAUAAAUGUUUUUUGCUAGUGUAGCUAGAUAGAGUUUUUAGUUGACUGAAAUGUUUCCACGUCACUUCGGUUAUGUUGAGUCCGCUUUCUUUACCACAUGGUAAAUUUGAAUCUGUUAAGAAUAAUCUCUUCCACUUUAGUAGCGGUAU